AGAGAGUGUGAGCAGAGUGUGAGCAGAGGGACAUGAGGUCAGCCCCGUUCUCAGUUCCCGCCCCUUUUGAACCCCUUCCCCUGCCCUCCUCAUCCCCAUCCCUCUCUGACCGGGGCCAUUUUAGGAAAAGGAAGGCGAACAGGAAGAGGCUCGGGAACCAUGGGAACCACGGAUUAGCGUCCAGCCUUUGAGGAGGCGUUUUUCAUUUUCUUAAUUUCUUUCUGAUUGCCGGGUGACACGUUUCACGGCAACAGCUUGAUGCACAGUCGGAAGAAACACCUGGUGUGCUCCUCGCUGCUGAAAGUUCGUGCUGACGGUCUGGACCCUGUGAGGAGAGCAGGGCUCAGCCUUCAGAGCACCCCCGUAGCAUCCCGUGCUGGUGACAUGAGAGGGGGUGUCCACCAGCUCACCAACCUGCUUCACAGGCAGACGGAAGACCAGGGCAGUCUCCCAGAAUCCCUGGAGGGACCAAUGAGAGGCUACUCAUAAUGCCUGCCUCCGCAUCUCCCACCACCACCACUGAGGCCUCAGGCAUGGUGCUCCCAGCCAUGCCUGCUGCAGAGGACACAGCACCAGGGACUCAGCAGAAGACAGAAGGUGGUAGCUUCAUCUUUCCCAACUUGUUGUCAAAUGUCUUCUUUUGAACUCAGAACCCAAGCAUUCCUGGCACCUCUAGAAUAGCGACAUCUAAUCCCGGACCUAAACAAGGUUUGAGAUUCCUAUCCUGGAUUCCAUCACACCUGCUUUGGGCCAGGUCCUUUACAUAGCCGUGAGGUGAAGUUAAGGGUCCCUGGAGUUUCCCAGGCUAAGUUCAAAGGUCACCAGGGCCAGCCAGCUCCCUGCAGGCCCCAUGGAGAAGCCAUUAAGCAGAGUGUCAUCUUCCUUCCUCUCCUGUGAGGAGAAUGUACGCUGUCCCUCCACCUGGAGUCCAGCUGCACUGGAGGAGGAGGUCCCGGACAACAUGCAGAUAAGCUCUGAACCAAAUCUGAGAUUUCAAUGAAAAAUGUAAAGUUA